rnacentral:rRNA from 1 species
AUGAAGAAGAAACGUAUUCGCAACCAAGCCUCCCAAGAACGACUGACUACGUUGACUGACAGAUUUACCGACGAUCAGAAGGGAGCUGCUGCUAAGAUGGGUGUGCAGGCUCUGAUGAACGUCCGGUGCACGAAUCUUGUCAACCCUGUAUGCGACUGGCUUGGUGAGAUUUACGACCCCGCCUCCAGGGAAUUUGUGAUUUCGGGACGUGGAAGACUGCCGUUGAACGAGGAAUCCGUGUUCUGCACUUUGGGUGUGCCUCGUGGACAGAUGAAAGUCCCGUGCGAGGUCAAUAACGAUAUCGAGGAAGCGCUAUUCCCCCGUUUGUUUCCUGGGUUGGAAUCCAUGGCGAAUACGUCUGUACUGGCAAAACUGAAAGAUGUGAAGAACAUGAAUUGGUGUAAGUUCAUAGCCGACUUCAUGCACGAUGCAUUCUCAAGGAAGAUGUACCAAAAGGGUUGUCGACUGCAUUUAAUGCUCAUGUACGUCGACUGUCUUGAUCUGUCCACCGUGGAUUUUACUGGGACAGGAGGCCCGCCGCCUACGCACAAGUUUGUUGUUUCUGCAUGGACUAUCAACGCUGUCAAGGCUGUGCUUGCCGCAGACAGGGUAACUGAUACCAAAUAUGGAAAACUGCAGCUGAUGGCCAAGCAUGCUAUAGACUACAGCGUGUUUGGGGGGCCUCAAAACUUUGGAAAGUGA